rnacentral:lncRNA from 1 species
CUUCCAGUUGUGACUCUUGCUAAGAACAAUCUAUUUGCCUUUGGGCUAAAAAAAUUCUUCAAUGGAAGUAAUUUAGCAAAACGAACUAAUCAGAGACACCAAACACCGCGAGUAUCGAUCGCAUUGAUUGGUUGAUGACUGAAGGAACUAAAAUAUGCAAUGUUCUCAUUGUGAUAAUGAAUGUAAGACCGUUCUGUUGACGAGGUAUGCAGACCUAAACACUUAAAGACUUAGAUUCGUUCUAGGGUCGCCAUAUCACGAUUCUUGUCAUUUCAUGAUCCAGCUUCUCCUCGUGUCAAAAUGCUGCUCAAUCUAGAAUAUCCAUCAUAUGUUAUUCCUUCACGCUCUGGAUUUUAACUCAUUCUUUUACUCUUUCCUAGGAAGUGUACAAAGUGCACUGUUUAUUGAAUAAUGACGUAAUACUAUUUUUGUAAUGAAGACUAAAGGUUUUGGUCCGCCAGACCUGGCCUACCUCAAGAGGAUCAACUCCUGGAAAUUUUUGGCUUCGACGAUCACGCUGAAAACCAAACUCCUCAGCACAUGUCAUCAAACAGAUAACCCCACUUACCACCAUCUCUACCUUUGAUCCAUCCUUAGACUCUUUCUCAAGCGAUAUCUGACCAUGCACAACUUUUCUGAAGCACAAAAAAAUCAACAUGUGCCACUCAUAAACACAUUCUCGAGAGCGAGCUCUUAAAGCCAGUAAAGUUCCAAAAUGUAAUUAAAUGUUCAACAUGCGGAUGAGAAACAAUUCUUAUUACUUUGAGAGUAAGUAAACAGUGAAAGCUGCUCCUCCCUGGAAGGGAAAAUUUUAAAAAUCGAAACUCCCCUACCCCCCAAGUCAAAUUAGCAUGAAAUUAGGAGAAGAAAUUCAGCAGCAACUGUGUCGCAUUCAAAUUAUGCUUAAGGGCGGAGCGGAACAUCCAUCCGCAAGAGACGCGGGGCGAGGCACAGCAGCAAUGAUAAGACCGAGCAAAUGGAGGAAACCUGGGCAAAACUGGAACAUGUCAGGAAGCACUUUUGAUUUGUAAAUCGGCAUGAAGAGAAAAAUAAGAAAGAAAAGGGGGGCUCUUGAGCGAGGCUAAUUAAACUAGGGAAUGUAAUCGUCGGGCGCUUUUCCCAUUGACUGGCAUGCCUA